rnacentral:tRNA from 1 species
GUGCUUGUAGCUCAAAGGAUAGAGCAUCAGAUUUCGAAUCUGUUGGCUAAAAGUUCAAAUCUUUUCAAGCAUA